CGGGUUUAAAAAAGUGAAGCAAUGUUGAAUAUUUGAUACAGUAUAAAAGUCUACGUAAGCACAACUUGAAGCAGGGUAUUAUAUUGCAUGGUGUCCAGAUAGACAAAUCUUAUUCUUCUGAUAUCCAAAACAUGAGCGUUUUAAGGUAAUACGCACACAGUAAACCUUUCAAAUCUUCGUGACUUUCUAUUAUUUCUUUAAAAAA
rnacentral:lncRNA from 1 species